rnacentral:rRNA from 1 species
UACGGAGGGUGCGAGCGUUGUCCGGAUUUAUUGGGCGUAAAGAGCUCGUAGGCGGCUUGUCGCGUCGACUGUGAAAUCCCGUGGCUCAACUGCGGGUCUGCAGUCGAUACGGGCAGGCUAGAGUUCGGUAGGGGAGACUGGAAUUCCUGGUGUAGCGGUGAAAUGCGCAGAUAUCAGGAGGAACACCGGUGGCGAGGGCGGAUCUCUGGGCCGAUACUGACGCUGAGGAGCGAAAGCGUGGGGAGCGAACAGG